AAUAGAUACCCUGGUAGUCCACGCCGUAAACGAUGAGUGCUAAGUGUUAGAGGGUUUCCGCCCUUUAGUGCUGCAGCAAACGCAUUAAGCACUCCGCCUGGGGAGUACGGUCGCAAGACUGAAACUCAAAGGAAUUGGCGGGGGCCCGCACAAGCGGUGGAGCAUGUGGUUUAAUUCGAAGCAACGCGAAGAACCUUACCAGGUCUUGACAUCCUUAUGCCUUCUCUAGAGAUAGAGCUUUCCCUUCGGGGACAUAAGUGACAGGUGGUGCAUGGUUGUCGUCAGCUCGUGUCGUGAGAUGUUGGGUUAAGUCCCGCAACGAGCGCAACCCUUGAUCUUAGUUGCCAGCAUUCAGUUGGGCACUCUAAGGUGACUGCCGGUGACAAACCGGAGGAAGGUGGGGAUGACGUCAAAUCAUCAUGCCCCUUAUGACCUGGGCUACACACGUGCUACAAUGGAUGGUACAAGGGGCAGCGAAACCGCGAGGUUAAGCCAAUCCCAUAAAACCAUUCUCUAGNUUUCGGGAUUGG
rnacentral:rRNA from 1 species